CGCUCCUGCAGUCGAGCGGAUGAGAGGAGCUUGCUCCUUGAUUUAGCGGCGGACGGGUGAGUAAUGCCUAGGAAUCUGCCUGGUAGUGGGGGAUAACGUUCCGAAAGGAACGCUAAUACCGCAUACGUCCUACGGGAGAAAGCAGGGGACCUUCGGGCCUUGCGCUAUCAGAUGAGCCUAGGUCGGAUUAGCUAGUUGGUGAGGUAAUGGCUCACCAAGGCGACGAUCCGUAACUGGUCUGAGAGGAUGAUCAGUCACACUGGAACUGAGACACGGUCCAGACUCCUACGGGAGGCAGCAGUGGGGAAUAUUGGACAAUGGGCGAAAGCCUGAUCCAGCCAUGCCGCGUGUGUGAAGAAGGUCUUCGGAUUGUAAAGCACUUUAAGUUGGGAGGAAGGGCAUUAACCUAAUACGUUAGUGUUUUGACGUUACCGACAGAAUAAGCACCGGCUAACUUCGUGCCAGCAGCCGCGGUAAUACGAAGGGUGCAAGCGUUAAUCGGAAUUACUGGGCGUAAAGCGCGCGUAGGUGGUUCGUUAAGUUGGAUGUGAAAGCCCCGGGCUCAACCUGGGAACUGCAUCCAAAACUGGCGAGCUAGAGUACGGUAGAGGGUGGUGGAAUUUCCUGUGUAGCGGUGAAAUGCGUAGAUAUAGGAAGGAACACCAGUGGCGAAGGCGACCACCUGGACUGAUACUGACACUGAGGUGCGAAAGCGUGGGGAGCAAACAGGAUUAGAUACCCUGGUAGUCCACGCCGUAAACGAUGUCAACUAGCCGUUGGGUUCCUUGAGAACUUAGUGGCGCAGCUAACGCAUUAAGUUGACCGCCUGGGGAGUACGGCCGCAGGUUAAACUCAAAUGAAUUGACGGGGCCCGCACAGCGUGGAGCAUGUGGUUUAUCGAGCACGCGAGACUUACUGGCUUGACAUGCUGAAAACUUCAGAGAUGGAUGGUGCUUCGGGAAC
rnacentral:rRNA from 1 species